GGGUAAAGAGUUAAAUUAACGUUUAUUUUGCAAAGAUAAGUUUAGAACUGUAUAGUUUCUUACCUU
rnacentral:tRNA from 1 species